rnacentral:lncRNA from 1 species
GUCAUUUUAAAUAUUUAAUACAUUUUUCUAAUAAUAAUCUAUACAGCCAUGAGGUAUAAUUGCAGUUUGAUUAAUUUCAAAACAACAUGUUCCAAACUAAUUUUAUUCAUUCUUAGUUUAUUUUCAUAAUACAUACAACCAACUUCACAGACUACGAUAUAUUUUGGAGUGUUUUUAGCCUUUUCUAUGAGCUUUAGCUAUGCGCUAGAAAGGAAAGCAGUUAGUUUCGAAGACUGUAACGCCAUUGUCUUUCAAAGUUAUUGUCAAAUUAACCAAACCAUUACCAAUUGCUUGACAAUCAACCGCUUACAUUUCUUUAGUCUUAAAUCGUUCUCAGAAACGUUUUUACAAAUAUAACAAGACGCUCUGUUGAGCGUUUAGUCGCUGGGGCUAUUAAAAUAAGGUCUUCUGCGCAGGGCUUCUGCGCUUAUUGCUCUCUCUUCUGAGAGCAGUGUAUAAGCGCAGAAGCCCUGGGUAUGAGGUUGAUAUCAUUUAUUGGAUUUAUCUGGCUUAGGCCAACUUCGAGGACACUGGAAACCAGGCUUAAACAAAUUUAUUGCAACUCCACAUUUUGACCCUUCAACUGAUUUUCUCAAAAAAUUUAAUGCCACCCCCCCCUUCUAGUAAAUUAUUUAUACUCAUGGGGUCAUGGCCCCACCUUUUGCCUCCCCCUCCCUCUUCCAUAAAUAAGGACUGGUCCCUAACUGCAGGAAAAAUAUGUGCACUUCACAGAACAUUUAUAACAAUUCAAAAUUUAUUACUUUUGCCUCAGGCUGGGUAACCACAACAGAAGUUGCCAAAUAGGCCCUUUGAAGGUAGCUUGCGUGUCAGGCUCGAUGCUUGAAAUAGAGCCUGUUAUACCCUGUGAGCAAAGUCCUCUCGUAUUUCUACUUGGCACGGCACGGAGAAGCGAGAGAGACUCUUCAGAACUUGUGUAUAAAUUCAUUUGAGCAUGCGCAAAGGUUGCUAAGCAACUGCCUAUUUCCCAGAAGAAGAUUUAAUAAGUAGUUUCCGGUUCGGAUCAAAACCGGCUAUAAAACUGGUAUCAAACCUGAAAUUACUCAUAAUUAUCCAAGUUUUUGGAUUGUUGGCUCCACAAAGAAUAUACACAAGUUCUGCAGAGUCUCUCUCGUGCUGAGAAGAAAUACGAGAGGACUUUGCCCACAGGGUAAGCCUGUUACUGAAGUCAAUAAAAAGAGGACAGUGAUUGGGAUGCACAAAAAUAACAACCAAUCAAAAUGGCGAUUGUUAAUCACGUAUCAGUCAAUUCCAGCAGUGCCCAUCUCCCCGAGGUAUUAGCCAUUUCUGGGAAGAAAAUGGCUAUGUCCACAAGCCAUUUGCAAUCAAAUUAAAUAUCAGUUUUCCAGCAAAUCUACGAAAUCCCCCAUGAUGGAAAAUGUCAAAAUCCUCACCUCAGGGCUAAAAAAUAUCGGCAAUAGCCCCACCCGCGUUAUUAGGAAAAGCUGCAAAGGCCCAGGGGUGGGAACUGCUGGAAUUAAUUGAUACAUUAGAUUAUCAAAGCUAAUUUAAAAUACGACAAUAACGGCCAACUUUUCCACCAAUAUCUCAAAACUAAAUAUUCCAAUUUUCAUCGAAUGGCCAGGAAUUACAUAUUAAAUAAUAAUAAUAACUGUUAUUGACUGCAGCAAAGGCAGUCAUUAACAUGCCCAAAAGUAGUUAAAGUACAAUUACAAGCACGGAAUAUCAUUACAUAAACAACAAUUUGGCAUUACCUUAAAAACAAAGCUACUGUAUUUAUUUCUGACCAAUGGGAAUUUUGCGUACGAAUCAUGUGCAUCAAUCCUUUUUACUGACCUCAGUAGCAGGCUUUAUUUCAGUAGCAGGCUUUAUUGUUUUCACCAUUGUGUUUAUACAAUCUUGCAAAUUUACUAGUAGGAAUUUCCAUUGUGUUUGCAGCCCUUACACUUCGUGUUUCAUUAUGGCAUCUUGACCUUGAAAGAGUCUAUUACUGUGGCUCCAACAUUUUCCCGUUCGGCGUUAGAAACACAAUACAUUGAUCAUAAAAUGACUGAAAUAUUACAGAUUUAAAAGCCUGACACCUAGCGGCAAAGUUUAAAUUUCACACAAGUAGUGAUGAAUGGUGAUCACUGUGGUUGUAUUUCGGUCUUGUUAGGCUACACCAUGUUCUUUUGACCACCCAUCCGUAACAGGAUUAUCUGCAUCAACAGCCGUAAAAAAAGCACCCAAAUAAACAGCAGUUUGCAAAUAUUAUUGUUGCGAUUUACAAAGGUUGCGGCCCGUUCCAACUUUGUAAAAUUGAAAAUUGUGAACUUUUGUCCUCUAUUUCAAGCUUGUAGCCCUCCAAGUUUACUCACAUAAAAUGACUUUCGCUUUAUAAAGUCUGUUUCAUCGGAAAACUUUU